AGCACGGCCAAGCUUGUGGUAGCGCACCAUGUGGAUCAUGCAGCAGUGUUUGAACUUUGCCCUGAAAGAGCUGAUCGCUACCCCGCAUUGCCCUUUCCCGGCCGGAAUCUUAUGGAACUAUUCACCGGCUGGGAUCGCCGGUCGCUCCCAAAGCCCUUUAAUCCAGAGCUCCGCUCUUCUGGGGACUUGUCGUACCUUUUAAUGGGCAUAGGUUGGGGGUGACUACUAAGAGGGAGCUCACUCGGGAACCUGUGGUUCUGACACCCUCCUACAUCAGGCUGUUCCUGAUUACCCCUUUGCCAGGCUACCGCUCCAGCCCUCAGCCACGGAUCAUGUCGCUUUUUGGACUGGGACAUCUAGGGCCCCGGAGCUCUACAACAGUACCCUGGAAUAGCCGCCGCUCCCUCAGGAUCACCCCGAAACUACGACCUAGCUAUUGUGGGAUCUCUAUGCGCCUGAGGAAGAGAGGAGACUCUUGAAAGUUUGUUACUAUAUAAUGUUAGUCCAAUAUAAAAAGAUAUUACUGCAUACUGUGAUACUCCUUUUUUUUUCUUAUAUAAAAUCUGACAAGAAACUA